rnacentral:rRNA from 1 species
GACAGCCAGGAUGUUGGCUUAGAAGCAGCCAUCAUUUAAAGAAAGCGUAAUAGCUCACUGGUCGAGUCGGCCUGCGCGGAAGAUGUAACGGGGCUAAACCAUGCACCGAAGCUGCGGCAGCGACGCUGAUGCGUUGUUGGGUAGGGGAGCGUUCUGUAAGCCUACGAAGGUGUGCUGUGAGGCAUGCUGGAGGUAUCAGAAGUGCGAAUGCUGACAUAAGUAACGAUAAAGCGGGUGAAAAGCCCGCUCGCCGGA